UUAAUCUGAACUCAAAAGGAAAUAAAACUCAAUGGGAGAGUUUUAAAAUUGUUCAGUGUUGAUCUAAGUUAAAUGCUGGUAUUAUGCAAGAAAAAAGGUUUCUGUAAGAUGUUUUUAGCAAAAAAAAAACUGUGGAGAAGAAUGCUUCUGGUUAAAGACUGAUAUGUUCUGGUUCAAGCGGGAGUUGAUUGUCUAGAAUUAGGCUAUUUCUGUUUCCAUCUCCCUCAGUAUCCUCUACUUCUUUCUAAAUCAACUCUGUGAUACCUCCAGAGCUCAAUGGGGCACAAGCUAGAAACCGCCAUUGCAGUAGUGUGUUCAUUCCAUAUGCAUAGAGUUGGUUUUGCAUACCAACAAAAUGACUUAAACCAUCUGAUUUAAAGGGUCCUGCAAGACGCUGACUCUUGGAAGAAUGAGUUUCCACAUUCUGAUGAUGUCAUGCCCCUUACCCUGACCAAUCAACAACCUCAAUUUUCCAGCCCCUAGCCCUUGACAAAACCCUUAAAGACCUUUGCUCAGACCACCUUGAUGAAAUGGAUUUGGGCCUUGAGAAUUCCUCCCAUUUCCAUCCUCAAUGGCCUUGCAGUUAUAUUAAACUCUUUCUCUGCUGCAAACCCUGCUGUCUCAGUGUAUUGGUCUUUAGUGUGCAGCAGGCAUAUGAACGUGGCAGUCUUGUAACAAGUGUGUGGCUUGUCCUCCUGAAAUACAUAUUACCAAGUGUAAUAAUGUAUAUUGUAAUACACAUUAUGUUAUAAAUUCCUUUUUUUUAAUGUCAACAUGUGUUGAAAUACAACGAAAACCCACUUAAUUGUGUUAAAGUUGGAAAUGGAUGGAGUGAUACAGAAGAAGACUGGGAAAAGCAGUAAGUCCUUUCAUCCUCCUGCUUUAUAGUCUGGAGACUUUUUAUAUCUGGUUAUUUGAUAAUUUGUAAAAACCACUAUACUGUAAAUUGAGUCACAGACAUAAGAGUGAAUUAUCAGAAAAAAAAGCAAUUCAGUUAGCUAAAUAUAUGUUCUACUGAUUAAACAUUUGCACAUUCACUGUAGGAAGCAUAAUUUCAUGAUCUCAAGUUACAAAUUGCAUCUUUGUUUCCUCUGACUUAACCCUGACAAUAAAUUGAUUGUCCUUAGUGAUGGUGAUGAUGAUACAUUUGGGUUUCCUGUGUGAGUGUGAGUGUGAGUGUCUGUACAUAUUAAAAGCACAGGCAUAUUUAAUAUGUAGGGAUUGCAAGGGCCUGCGACUUGAUCGGUGCUUUCUAGCAAGUCAAAGCAGUUCUGGUUAGGAGUACCUGCUUUGCAAUUAUCUGAGAAAACACAAUUGGAUGUAGGCAUCAAUGGCAAAGUAUAAUAAAUGAUAAACAUUUCCCUGGAAGAAGUAACCUAAUUCUACAUUAAUACUUUUUUUCCUAAGUAAAUAUUAUUUAACUAUUACACAUCUUUACCAAAAAAUUAAAUGUUACUUUAAUGUCUACUAAAUUCCUACAUUCAUUUAUAUGGUAUUUACAACCUGGUUGCACAGUGAUGCAUACUUUAAUUUAUUCAAAAUUGUCAUUUAUAUGUCCUGUGCUUUGUUAAAUAAUCUACUCUACCCUCAAUAAAAUAAUUUCAAACAUAGUUUCUCUAAUCAGAACUUGGAAAAUUGUUUUGAUUUUGUUUUCUUUGCUAUCUCCACAAAUGAUUGAAAGAAAAUAAAAUAACUAUGGUAUUAAAAUGGUAAUUUUAAGUAAGCCAAAAUACUUUGAAUGAAAAUAGUCACAAUGCUAUUAUUGUGACUUAUACACUUAAAAGAGAGUAUAAUCUUUGCAAACAAAAGGAAAAUAUUAUUGAUAAUUGAAAUUAUAUCUGCCAGUAACAUUUUUCUUUUGCCCUGAUAUUAUUGUGUUGACUGGUAUCCAUAGAAAAUAAGUGCACCACAUAUCACUUUUUAAAACAAUUUAUUAAUAUUAUAAAUCUUACAUCCAUAUAUUUAAUAAUAUCUACACCAGUGAAUGUAAUUUUAAAAAUUUUUUGUAAUGUGAUUGCUAAGAAAAAUGGAAA
rnacentral:lncRNA from 10 species